rnacentral:rRNA from 1 species
UCAGAUUGAACGCUGGCGGCAGGCCUAACACAUGCAAGUCGAACGGUAACAGGAAACAGCUUGCUGUUUCGCUGACGAGUGGCGGACGGGUGAGUAAUGUCUGGGAAACUGCCUGAUGGAGGGGGAUAACUACUGGAAACGGUAGCUAAUACCGCAUAACGUCGCAAGACCAAAGAGGGGGACCUUCGGGCCUCUUGCCAUCGGAUGUGCCCAGAUGGGAUUAGCUUGUUGGUGGGGUAACGGCUCACCAAGGCGACGAUCCCUAGCUGGUCUGAGAGGAUGACCAGCCACACUGGAACUGAGACACGGUCCAGACUCCUACGGGAGGCAGCAGUGGGGAAUAUUGCACAAUGGGCGCAAGCCUGAUGCAGCCAUGCCGCGUGUAUGAAGAAGGCCUUCGGGUUGUAAAGUACUUUCAGCGGGGAGGAAGGGAGUAAAGUUAAUACCUUUGCUCAUUGACGUUACCCGCAGAAGAAGCACCGGCUAACUCCGUGCCAGCAGCCGCGGUAAUACGGAGGGUGCAAGCGUUAAUCGGAAUUACUGGGCGUAAAGCGCACGCAGGCGGUUUGUUAAGUCAGAUGUGAAAUCCCCGGGCUCAACCUGGGAACUGCAUCUGAUACUGGCAAGCUUGAGUCUCGUAGAGGGGGGUAGAAUUCCAGGUGUAGCGGUGAAAUGCGUAGAGAUCUGGAGGAAUACCGGUGGGCGAAGGCGGCCCCCUGGACGAAGACUGACGCUCAGGUGCGAAAGCGUGGGGAGCAAACAGGAUUAGAUACCCUGGUAGUUCACGCCGUAAACGAUGUCGACUUGGAGGUUGUGCCCUUGAGGCGUGGCUUCCGGAGCUAACGCGUUAAGUCGACCGCCUGGGGAGUACGGCCGCAAGGUUAAAACUCAAAUGAAUUGACGGGGGCCCGCACAAGCGGUGGAGCAUGUGGUUUAAUUCGAUGCAACGCGAAGAACCUUACCUGGUCUUGACAUCCACAGAACUUUCCAGAGAUGGAUUGGUGCCUUCGGGAACUGUGAGACAGGUGCUGCAUGGCUGUCGUCAGCUCGUGUUGUGAAAUGUUGGGUUAAGCCCCGCAACGAGCGCAACCCUUAUCCUUUGUUGCCAGCGGUCCGGCCGGGAACUCAAAGGAGACUGCCAGUGAUAAACUGGAGGAAGGUGGGGAUGACGUCAAGUCAUCAUGGCCCUUACGACCAGGGCUACACACGUGCUACAAUGGCGCAUACAAAGAGAAGCGACCUCGCGAGAGCAAGCGGACCUCAUAAAGUGCGUCGUAGUCCGGAUUGGAGUCUGCAACUCGACUCCAUGAAGUCGGAAUCGCUAGUAAUCGUGGAUCAGAAUGCCACGGUGAAUACGUUCCCGGGCCUUGUACACACCGCCCGUCACACCAUGGGAGUGGGUUGCAAAAGAAGUAGGUAGCUUAACCUUCGGGAGGGCGCUUACCAC